AGUGAACGCUGGCGGUAGGCCUAACACAUGCAAGUCGAACGGCAGCACAGAGGAGCUUGCUCCUUGGGUGGCGAGUGGCGGACGGGUGAGGAAUACAUCGGAAUCUACUCUGUCGUGGGGGAUAACGUAGGGAAACUUACGCUAAUACCGCAUACGACCUACGGGUGAAAGCAGGGGAUCUUCGGACCUUGCGCGAUUGAAUGAGCCGAUGUCGGAUUAGCUAGUUGGCGGGGUAAAGGCCCACCAAGGCGACGAUCCGUAGCUGGUCUGAGAGGAUGAUCAGCCACACUGGAACUGAGACACGGACCAGACUCCUACGGGAGGCAGCAGUAAGGAAUAUUGGUCAAUGGAGGGAACUCUGAA
rnacentral:rRNA from 1 species